rnacentral:rRNA from 1 species
GACGUAGGGCGCGAGCGUUGUCCGGAUUUAUUGGGCGUAAAGAGCUCGUAGGCGGCUUGUCGCGUCGAAUGUGAAAACUCGGGGCUCAACUCCGAGCUUGCAUUCGAUACUGGCAGGCUUGAAUUCGGGAGAGGGAUGUGGAAUUCCAGGUGUAGCGGUGAAAUGCGUAGAUAUCUGGAGGAACACCGGUGGCGAAGGCGGCAUCCUGGACCGAUAUUGACGCUGAUGCGCGAAAGCCAGGGGAGCAAACGGG